CUAUCAAGUUGAAGUAAAAAGAAUAUUUACAAGUAUAAAACUAUAUACUCAAAUAUCCCUCUCUCAAGUCGAAUUCUUCAAGCGGAAUUCUUCAAGAAGAAGAUAGUUAAAUUGGUAAACGUAAGUUUAGAUGUGUUGCAUUGUAAUAUCAUUAUACAGCCUAUUUUGUAAGUUGAUGAUUUACAUUUAAGAGAUUGUACUCUGUUAUUUAACUGGCAUCAUCAACAAUCUUUUGUUUGUUUUGUUGGAGAUUGCGAC